CUCGGAAACUGUUCUUUAGAAAUCAACAGACUACAAAAGAACAGAAAAAAAAUCCCAGCACACUACUUCAUGGCAAAUACUUUUAUUGAAAGGUUUUCCUUUUUAACAAUAAUAAUCAUUGUAAUACAAUGAAAUAUACAGAAUAAAGAAUAAGAAUACAUAUAAAUCAAACAAACAAAAAGAAACAGGGGAGGAGGGGAAUAUCCCUCCAUUCUAAAAUUGAUAACGUAUGCUUUAUGAAAAACACUACAUAGUGUCAAAUAAGGUGUAAAAGCACUCCACAUGCACCGGAGAUAAAUAGUGUGCAAGCAGUUGCGUAUACAAACAGAACAAGAGUAAAAGGAGAGGCACAUAAACUACAAUCAUAAAGAGUAUUUUCGUUUGACAUUAUCGUCCCACAUGUUCCAGUGGUACCAUUUCUUUGAGUGUUCAACACUUCAUACCCAUUGAGGCAUACAUACUUGUAAAACUCAAUAAAUAAAUGGGGUGUUGAGCUGGAUAGAUUAUUUUAUUCAGCUCAUGUGGGGAGCUUGAAAACAGAAAGAUGAUAUGGGCUAAAAUAUAUUAUUAAUUAUAAAGCACCAACAGAUUCCGCAGCGCUGUACAAUGGAUGGGCUGACAGACAUGUGGUUGAAACCAGACAAGAUGGCUCCACAGAAAUAGUGUGCUUGAGGGCUUUGCUCGAUGAGCUUACAGGCUUGAGGGAGUGGGGUAUAGUGACACAAAAGGUAAGGAUAGAGUAGAAAAUUAUGGUUGCUGUAGUAAUGUGAUACCAACCAGAGUUAUUGAUUAAACUGAACAUUGUAAGCUAAAAUAGUAACGCUUUGAUUAUACAGGGAAUGUUGCCAGCUCAACUCACUACAAUUUGAUGUUUAAGGAAUAAAUCCCUACAAUACAAUACUUUUUUUUAUUUUGUUUUACCUCUACACCUCACAUUUCUUGCCCUUAUUUCCAUCAGUAACGCUAAUCUUAUGGUUAUUUGCAAGUAAAAAUAUUCUAUAUUUAAUUAAUGAGAUUUAAAAUAUUAAUAAUAAAAUAAACAUAUCAAUGUUUUAGUGCUAUUUCAGCCAUCGCUAGCCUUUCUUGUUCUUUUAUUUUUGUUAAAUCUUACACCACUAAUAUUAUGACGAACACAUAUUGCAUAGUUUUUGUCAGUAUGACAGGAUUGAAGAGACAGAGCCGAAAAGCAAGAAAC